ensembl:miRNA aca-mir-551 aca-mir-551
CAGUGGCUCCAGAAAUCAAGGUUGGGUGAGACCUCGUGAACAGACUGGAAGGCGACCCAUACUUGGUUUCAGGAGCUUCGAGGAUUUAUUC